ensembl:lncRNA
CCUAAACACAGCCCUGAGACCCCAAACCCACCCCAAACCCCACCCUAAAUACAGCCCUGAGACCCCAAACCCAUCCCAAAGGCCGCAUGUGCAGGGCCCGGAGCAUGGCCUGGGACCCCAAAAACAUCCUAAAUCCAUUCCAAAUCCCACCCAGAGACCCCAAAAACACCACAAAUCCAUCCCAAAUCCUAAAUGGGACCCCAAAUCCCACCCAGAGACCCCAAAAACACCACAAAUCCAACCCUGGGACCCCAAAUCCAUCCCAAAUCCCACCCAGAGAGCCCAAAUCCAGCCCAGAGCCUUCUAAUCCCAUCCAGACCCCAAAUCCCCAAAUCCCAGCCCAAAGUCCCAGUCCCAGUUCCCAUUCCCAGUUCCCAAUCUCAUUCCCAGUCAAUCCCAGUUCAAUCCCAGUUUAUCCCAGUCAAUCCCAGUCAAUCCCAGUCAAUCUCAGUUUAUCCCAAUCAAUCCCAGUCUAUCCCAGUCAAUCCCAGUUUAUCCCAGUUCAAUCCCAGUCAAUCCCAGUCAAUCCCAGUUCAAUCCCGUUCAAUCCCAGUUCAAUCCCAGUCAAUCCCAUCCCAUUCCCAGUCUAUCCCAGUCAAUCCCAGUCAAUCUCAGUUUAUCCCAGUUCAAUCCCAGUCUAUCCCAGUUUAUCCCAGUCAAUUCCAGUUCAAUCCCAGUCAAUCCCAGUUCAAUCCCAGUCUAUCCCAGUCUAUCCCAGUCAAUCCCAGUCAAUCCCAGUUCAAUCCCGUUCAAUCCCAGUUCAAUCCCAGUCAAUCCCAUCCCAUUCCCAGUCUAUCCCAGUCUAUCCCAGUCAAUCCCAGUUUAUCCCAGUCUAUCCCAGUCAAUCCCAGUCAAUCCCAGCCCAAUCCCAGCCCAUUCCCAGUUUAUCCCAGUCAAUCCCAGUUGAUCCCAGUCAAUCCCAGUUUAUCCCAGCCCAUUCCCAGUCUAUCCCAGUUUAUCCCAGUCAAUCCCAGUCUGUCCCAGUACCGAUCUCUCGCUCCUGGCCAGGGUUUUGCCGUCACUCCCGUACAGGCUCAGCCCCACCAUGAACAUCCCCAGCUCUCGGUUCACCGGCGACUCCGGCAGCUCCAGCUCCAGCGAGAUCCGGUACAGCUGCCCAUAGAGUAACACCUGAGGGUGAAAUACACCUGGGUUACACCGGGGUUACACCUGGUACACCUGGGAUACACCUGGGUUACACCUGGGAUACACCUGGUACACCUGGGAUACACCUGGGAUACACCUGGGUUACACCUGGGAUACACCUGGGUUACACCUGGUACAGCUGGUACACCUGGGAUACACCUGGGAUACACCUGAGAUACACCUGGGUUAUACCUGAGAUACACCUGGGUUACACCUGAUACAGCUGGGUACACCUGGGUUACACCUGGUACACCUGGGAUACACCUGGGAUACACCUGAUACAGCUGGGCAUGGCUAACAUACACCUGGGUACACCUGGGUUACACCUGGGUUACACCUGAGAUACACCUGGGUUAUACCUGGUACACCUGGGUUAUACCUGAGAUACACCUGGGUUACACCUGGGCAUGGCUAACAUACACCUGGGAUACACCUGGGUUACACCUGGUACACCUGGGAUACACCUGGGAUACACCUGGGAUACACCUGGUACACCUGGGAUACACCUGGGUUACACCUGGUACACCUGGGCAUGGCUAACACACACCUGGGUACAGCUGGGUA